rnacentral:rRNA from 1 species
GACGAACGCUGGCGGCGUGCCUAAUACAUGCAAGUAGAGCGCUGAAGGAGGAGCUUGCUUCUCUGGAUGAGUUGCGAACGGGUGAGUAACGCGUAGGUAACCUGCCUGGUAGCGGGGGAUAACCAUUGGAAACGAUAGCUAAUACCGCAUAAUAGUAGAUGUUGCAUGACAUUUGCUUAAAAGGUUCAAUUGCAUCACUACCAGAUGGACAUGCGUUGUAUUAGCUAGGUGGUGGGGUAACGGCUCACCAAGGCGACGAUGCAUAGGCGACCUGAAAGGGGAAGAGACCAAGCUGGGACGGGAGCACGGCCCAGAAUCCUGCGGGAGGGAGCAGGAGGGAAUCUUUGGGAAUGGACGGAAGGCUGAACGUUGGACGCCGGGUGAGUGAAGGAGGUUUUAGGGUCGUGAAACUCUGUUAUGAGAGAAGGUCGUGUAGGAGAGUGAAAAGUUCACGUUGUGACGGUAUCUGAAGAAAAAGCUACGGCUAACUACGUG